UGCCAGCAGCCGCGGUAAUACGAGGGGCCCGAGCGUUACUCGGAAUCACUGGGCUUAAAGCGUACGCAGGCGGACUGGUAGGCAUUUUGUGAAAACCCACGGCUCAACCGUGGAACAGCAGAGUGAACCAUCAGUCUUGAGGCAGGUAGGGGUCGAUGGAACCAUGAGUGGAGCGGUGAAAUGCGUAGAUAUUCAUGGGAACGCCAAUGGCGAAGGCAGUCGACUGGGCCUGUCCUGACGCUCAGGUACGAAAGCGUGGGGAGCAAACAGGAUUAGAUA
rnacentral:rRNA from 1 species